rnacentral:rRNA from 1 species
GACAGAGGGGGCAAGCGUUGCUCGGAAUUACUGGGCGUAAAGGGCGCGUAGGCGGGAUGGCAAGUCGGUCGCGAAAUCCCUCGGCUCAACUGAGGAUCGUCGAUCGAUACUGCCGUUCUUGAGGAUUGCAGAGGAGACUGGAAUUCCCGGUGUAGCGGUGAAAUGUGUAGAGAUCGGGAGGAACACCGGUGGCGAAGGCGGGUCUCUGGGCAAUUCCUGACGCUGAGGCGCGAAAGCGUGGGGAGCAAACGGG